rnacentral:tRNA from 1 species
CAUUAAAUAACUAAAAGCAAGUAUUGGUCUCUUAAACCAACAAUAGUAAAUUAGCACUUACUUUUAAUGA